rnacentral:lncRNA from 1 species
GCAAACAAGUAAAGCCGAACGGCUAUACUAUUUUUGAAAAUAAUAUAUAUAUAUAUAUAUAUAUUUAAACAGUAUAGCCGGGCGGCUAUACUGUUUAAAAAUAUAUAUAUAUAUUAUUUUUGUUCAAUAAUAUGUGAGAAUAUGAAUAUAAUACUUGAAUUUUGUGUGCCUUAUUGAAAUUUUAAUAAAAAAAAUACGUGUAUUAAACUUGAGAAAUACGUGCGG